CACUGAAUUUGAUGCAUAUUAGAAAGAUAUAAUGUUUCCAAAUUGAUAUAUACUAGCUCUUGAUGUGUGAUUGUGAAUUCAAAGAACGAAAUUCAAACAACUAAGUCAAUUUUCAAAUUCACUGCCAAAUUUACCUCAGAUCUAAAUUAACAACACUAAUUCAAUGAAUAGCCUUAGACUUCUUUACACAAGUGAAGGUGCAAAAGUAUGCUUCAUAAUGCUUCUGGGUUGAAUUGUAUACACUGGCAACAUUAUUAGAUCACCUUAGAUGGGGACUUUUAAUAUUUCCCACGUUAUCUUAAAACAGACCUAAAUUAUGACAAGGAUCUCAUUGCUUUAGUAAUCUGAGUGUUUGACCAGAAGACUACACAAACAAUUAAGCAAAAUCAGCACACAUAAACAAACACGAAUCAAACCAGUAACAGGGGGAAAAAAAGAAAAGAAAAUAAUUUUCAAUCUAUUAAAUAUACAAAUGCAUCAAUUACCACGGAUCGGCAAAGGUUUACAGAUGAACGGCAUUCAAAAAAUCGACUGCAGGUCAUUAAAACAAUCCACCAAAUACAAAGCAUCGAUGUAUAACCUCAGAAGAUAUAUGGUUUCAAACAAGAUCCAUUUCUUAAUUUUAAUUUCUAAAUCGAUU
rnacentral:lncRNA from 1 species